UACGUAGGGGGCAAGCGUUGUCCGGAUUUAUUGGGCGUAAAGAGCGUGUAGGCGGCCUGACAAGUCUGCUGUGAAAACUCGAGGCUCAACCUCGAGAUGUCGGCGGAAACUGUCUGGCUAGAGUCCGGAAGAGGAGAGUGGAAUUCCUGGUGUAGCGGUGAAAUGCGCAGAUAUCAGGAAGAACACCUAUGGCGAAGGCAGCUCUCUGGGACGGUACUGACGCUGAGGAGCGAAAGCGUGGGGAGCGAACAGG
rnacentral:rRNA from 1 species